rnacentral:pre_miRNA from 1 species
CAAGGAGGUGGUUUAACAGCUCAGUGAUUUAAAGCAAUCAAAUUCCUUUAGCUUUAAAUCAUGCAGCUGUUGAACAAGUUCUUGC